UACAGAGGUCUCAAGCGUUGUUCGGAUUCAUUGGGCGUAAAGGGUGCGUAGGUGGCGCUGUAAGUCGGGUGUGAAAUUUCGGAGCUCAACUCCGAAACUGCAUUCGAUACUGCGGUGCUUGAGGACUGGAGAGGAGACUGGAAUUCAUGGUGUAGCAGUGAAAUGCGUAGAGAUCAUGAGGAAGACCAGUGGCGAAGGCGGGUCUCUGGACAGUUCCUGACACUGGAGCACGAAGGCCAGGGGAGCAAACGGG
rnacentral:rRNA from 1 species